rnacentral:lncRNA from 1 species
CAUUUGUUAGCUCCCGACCCACUAAAUUUUCCGAAUAUCACAAGUUAUUUGUCCAGAAUGGUUCGCAUAUAAAAAUGAAGCUAUCAAUCCCAACUAGAUAUCCCGGGUACACAGAGUUCUAAAAUAAUGGAGUCAAACCAGUCAUCCACAUGUCACUUAGUUUUAGUUUAACUAACCCACUCAUUUUAUUAUUAUUAUUAUUAUUAUUA